rnacentral:misc_RNA from 1 species
GAUGAAGAACGUAGCGAAAUGCGAUAAGUAAUGUGAAUUGCAGAAUUCAGUGAAUCAUCGAAUCUUUGAACGCACAUUGCGCCCCCUGGUAUUCCGGGGGGCAUGCCUGUUCGAGCGUCAUUGCUGCCCUCAAGCACGGCUUGUGUGUUGGGCCCCGUCCUCCGAUCCCGGGGGACGGGCCCGAAAGGCAGCGGCGGCACCGCGUCCGGUCCUCGAGCGUAUGGGGCUUUGUCACCCGCUCUGUAGGCCCGGCCGGCGCUUGCCGAUCAACCCAAAUUUUUUAUCCAGGUUGACCUCGGAUCAGGUAGGGAUACCCGCUGAACUUAAGCAUAUCAAUAAGCGGAGGA